rnacentral:rRNA from 1 species
GACGAACGCUGGCGGCGUGCUUAACACAUGCAAGUCGAGCGGUAAGGCCCUUUCGGGGGUACACGAGCGGCGAACGGGUGAGUAACACGUGGGUGACCUGCCCUUAGCUCUGGGAUAAGCCUGGGAAACUGGGUCUAAUACCGGAUAUGACUCCAUGACGCAUGUUGUGGGGUGGAAAGCCUUGUGCGGCUAGGGAUGGGCCCGCGGCCUAUCAGCUUGUUGGUGGGGUGAUGGCCUACCAAGGCGACGACGGGUAGCCGGCCUGAGAGGGCGACCGGCCACACUGGGACUGAGACACGGCCCAGACUCCUACGGGAGGGCAGCAGUGGGGAAUCUUGCGCAAUGGGCGAAAGCCUGACGCAGCGACGCCGCGUGAGGGAUGACGGCC